rnacentral:rRNA from 1 species
GAUGAACGCUGGCGGCGUGCUUAACACAUGCAAGUCGAACGAUGAAGCCCAGCUUGCUGGGUGGAUUAGUGGCGAACGGGUGAGUAACACGUGAGUAACCUGCCCUUGACUCUGGGAUAAGCCUUGGAAACUGGGUCUAAUACUGGAUAUGACUUCUCAUCGCAUGGGGGGGGGGGGAAAGAUUUAUUGGUCUUGGAUGGACUCGCGGCCUAUCAGCUUGUUGGUGGGGUAAUGGCUCACCAAGGCGACGACGGGUAGCCGGCCUGAGAGGGUGACCGGCCACACUGGGACUGAGACACGGCCCAGACUCCUACGGGAGGCAGCAGUGGGGAAUAUUGCACAAUGGGCGCAAGCCUGAUGCAGCGACGCCGCGUGAGGGAUGACGGCCUUCGGGUUGUAAACCUCUUUCAGUAGGGAAGAAGCGAGAGUGACGGUACCUGCAGAAGAAGCGCCGGCUAACUACGUG